GGUGAACGCUGGCGGCGUGCCUAACACAUGCAAGUCGAACGGCAGGACAGUAAGCUCUUGCCCUUACGGGUGGCGGGGGGCGGGUGGGUGACGCAUACAUCGCCAUCUACUUUUUCGGGGGGGAUAACGGAGGGACAGUUACGCUAAUAGCGCAUAUGUUGUACGGCUGAGAGCAGGGGUUCUUCGCACCUUUCGCGUUUGAUUUAGCUGAAGUCGGAUUAGCUAGUUGGCGGGGUAAGGGCCCACCAAGGCGACGAUCCGUAGCUGGUCUGAGAGGAUGAUCAGCCACACUGGAACUGAGACACGGUCCAGACUCCUACGGGAGGCAGCAGUGGGGAAUAUUGGACAAUGGGCGCAAGCCUGAUCCAGCCAUACCGCGUGGGUGAAGAAGGCCUUCGGGUUGUAAAGCCCUUUUGUUGGGAAAGAAAAGCAGCAGGUUAAUACCCCGCUGUUCUGACGGUACCCAAAGAAUAAGCACCGGCUAACUUCGUG
rnacentral:rRNA from 1 species